rnacentral:rRNA from 1 species
GCAAGUCGAGGGGUAACAUAAGGUGCUUGCACUUUGAUGACGACCGGCGCACGGGUGCGUAACGCGUAUACAAUCUACCUUUUACAGAGGGAUAGCACAGAGAAAUUUGGAUUAAUACCUCAUAGUAUUAUUAAUUGGGAUCGAUUGAUAAUUAAAGAUUUAGUGGUAAAAGAUGAGUAUGCGUGCUAUUAGCUAGUGGGUAAGGUAACGGCUUACCUAGGCAACGAUAGAUAGGGGCCCUGAGAGGGGGAGC